rnacentral:rRNA from 1 species
GGAUUAGAUACCCUGGUAGUCCUAGCUGUAAACGAUGGAUACUAGAUGUAGGAAUUGGAUUGACGAUUUCUGUAUCGUAGCUAACGCGUUAAGUAUCCCGCCUGGGGAGUACGGUCGCAAGACUAAAACUCAAAGGAAUUGACGGGACCCCGCACAAGCGGCGGAGCAUGCGGCUUAAUUCGAUGAUACCCGUAGAACCUUACCUGGACUAGACAUAUAGGGAAAAGCUAUAGAAAUAUAGUGUGCGUAAGCGCCCUAUACAGGUGGUGCAUGGCUGUCGUCAGCUCGUGCCG